rnacentral:lncRNA from 1 species
AUAUAUAUAUAUUGUUGUUUUUUGUUUUGUGUUCACUGACUGUGAGAUCUUGGUGGGGAUAACUUUAUGUAUUAUGGGAGAGAAAAGAAAUAGAAGAAAGGUAGAAAGGGUUUUGUAAUAAGGGAUAAAGUUGAAGUACGGUUGGUGGAAAGGAAAGAAGAGAGGAAUGACUUGUGGAGGAACCAUGGAUUUAAUAGGACGUUACGUGCGAGUGAGGAUAGGAGUGUGGACGAUGGUGAUUUGGUAAGGAUGACUCUGUCGACCGUGUGAUGAGGGAAGAUGAUGAUUUGCUAGUGAUGACUCUUUUGGUCGUGUGAUGUGGGAAAGAAAUCCUCUUCGGUCGUGUGACGCGGGAAAGAAAUUCUCUUCGGCCGUGUGUUGCAGGAAGAUGAUGGUUUGAUAGUGAUAACUCUUUUGGCCGUGAUGCGGAAAAGAGGUUCUUGUUGGUCAUGUGAUGUGGGAGGACACUGUCGUGUGACUCAUAAUGAAUUGAUUAUGGUGAUUAGGUGGUGUGAUAGUGUAAAGGGAAUAGAUUGGGUUGUGAUGUCAAUGUGGUGAGCUUAUUAUUGUGAUGUUAAUGUUAUGAUGUUAAUGUUGUGGUUAUAUAUGUUUAGGAUUUGGUUAUUAAUGUGGUUAAUAUAAUUGUAUAUUGUAUGAUAAGAUAAUU